GAAGAGUCGGACGCUUAAUGAACUGAGUCACCCAGGCAUCCCUACCCACAUUUUUCUCAAGAUUUGGUGGCACCAACAGGAUCCAAAGUGAACUUCUGACAGCAUUUGGGGACGAUGAGAACAUAGGCAUGGUACCUGAGAAGCUCUGGAGUUCCUAUCUUUGUCACCCUGUUGAGGGGCAUGCGGGCCUCAAAGCUCGGUCUUCUGGACCCUUUGAACACUUGGAGCUGUACUUCAAUCAACUGCCUGCCACUUAGUGUGGCUUAUCAUUAGGUUCUUGUUAUUGUAUGUGUGUUUUCUAGAUGGGUUGAGAUUUCCCUUGUUGUAUGACUGAUGCCCUCACAGGAAAAACCAACCAAUCAACCAAACUUUAAGAAUAUGUUUCCCACUUAGGGUAUAAUUUCCACUAUCUCCAGUGAUCAAGGCAGCCAUUUCACUGGACAAAUCAUUUGAGCCCAACAAAAACCCUACAAACUUCUUGGAAUUCUAUCACAUAAAGAAGGUACACAACCUUCUGGUCUCUUGUUGCCUCAUGCUUGUAUGACGACGAGCUACUAUAAAUCUCUAAUGUCUUAUGCUCAGGCCUGUGUCAACCACAGAUUCAAGAAGCUUUCCUGGAUCCCAAUUCAAAGAAACCUGUUAGUCACAGAAUUUGGUGAGUGUAUAAACGUCACCAGAGGAAAAUCACACUCCAGCCCCACUGGAAAGAAGACCUUAGCAGGUGCUCCUGACCACUGACACUGCUGCAAAACUAAAAACCAUUAAGUCUUGGGUACACAGCAUACAGAGAAGGCUCCACCUGGUCCUGUACAGAUGCUAGAGACCUCCACAUCAAACUGAUGAGGAAGAGAAGUAGCUGACAGACAGGCAGGCUGAUUCCACCCCAAAUGAUGGAUGGAGACUUCAUUCGCUAACUAAACGUAAACCCCUUUCUCCUUUUCCUUUCCUUCACUCUGGCCUUGCCCUGGAAAGACAACACCCUCAUCUGUAUCUCCCAGGCUAAGGGAGGGGGUAGUGGGUAUAACCUCUGGAAUUUAAAACCACCUUUUAUUUCAGGCUAGGAGAAGAUCAAACUGUGCCUCUAAGCAAAAUAAGGGAUCUCUUUGGUUGACUCUCCUAAAUUUACAUUGUUGGAAUUAAAAAGGAGACAUUCAUGAUUCAGAUUCACUCUUUUUCAUAGGUCUCUAUUUCCCUGGUUAGGGAUACAAAUAAAUGAGGCUAUGAUCAAUUCUCAAAAUUACUGCAAAGUCUGCUGCUAAAGCAAUAGUAGCACAACAAAGAUCCUAAGACUCUCCAGCCAAAGUUGUCCUUGAUUAUCUUUUAGCUGAGGCAAGGAGGUGGAUUGUCUGUGUUGUGGCCAAUACCACCUCGUAUGCUUGGAUUUAACACUUAUGGUGAAGUUAGAACUCAAUUAUAGAAGAUCACUGAGCAAGGCACUGGGCUUAAAAAGAUGACUCCUUCAGCAGAAUCUUUUUUUGACUAUUUAUUUUUGAUUGGUUUGGUUGGGUCUUGGGGACCAUGGCUCUAAAGUAUACUCCAACUAUCGGGGAUUAUCCUAAUAAUAAUAACAAUCUAUGGUAAUAGUAUUCUCUUUGGUAAAUUAUAUUCUCUGAAAAGCUUUAAAUGUAUGUUCACUGUCACUAAUCACCAAAUGAUUUAAGUCUGGAACAUAAACCUGAUGUUGUGACUAUAAAUAUCAUAGAGAUUAAGGAAAAGCAUCAUGACCUAUAGGAACCACACAAAGAACAACAAUAGCUGUGAGAACUACAAAAGGGUAAUUGAGAGUUAGUGUAAUGCCUUAAAUUUUGGUCACAUCUCUCAGUUAGGCUGAGAGUCUAAUAAAAAGGAGGAACUGUUAAAAAGAAAACCACAGGCCCCAAAUGGCAUCACUCAGAAUGAGUUUCCAAACCAGGGCUUAAUAUAUAAUUUAAUUGCAGUUUCAACCUUCCUCAGAAAUGCAGUCUUAACUGGUAAGUCAGAAAUUUAUUGAUGGGUACCCACCUGAGCCCUCUCCCACCCCUCAAAGGAAGAGGAGGAGUCUGCAUAAGAUGCUCUGCUCUUCCUUCUAAGGGAAGUGUCUUUGCCUGAAACCAUCCUUUUCUUUUGCUAAUAACCUUCUUGCCCCACUCUUCUUUUAUUAAAACCUUCCAUUUUGUACAACUCCUCAGAGCACCCCCAUUCAUGCAUCAUUUAAUAAAUCCAAUUAGAUCUUAAAAAUUUACUUGGUUAAAUUUUUGUUAUUUAACAAGCAUACUGUAAAAAGCUUGAAAAAUUUAGAAAAGUACAAAGAAAAAUCACUCCUCAUUCUACCACGUAGACAUAACAAUAUGAGGUAUGGUUGACCCUUGAACAACAUAAGGGUUGGGUGCCAAACUCCCACAGUUAAAAAUCCGCAUAUAAUUUCUGAUUCCCCAGAAACGUAACUACUAAUAAUCUACUGAUCAGAAAGAAGUCAGUAAUCCUGCUUUUAAUUUAUCAUUCUGACAUAUGCAUUUCAUCACAUUAUUAAAUACUCUUCAGAAGCCCUUUCUAGUGCCUGCAUAAUAUUUCACUGUCUGCCUGUAUCACAAUUUCCUUAAUAAUUCCCUUUCUGUUGGAGAUUUAGGUUGUUUGGUAAUUUAAUAUAAUGUAAUAUUUUUUAUUAUGUCCUUUGAACAGAUUCCUUAAAAAUUCUAAGUAAAAGGCUACAGACAUUUUAAGGAUUUUGUUAAAAUGUAAUUUAGGAAGAAUUAUAAUCCUGGAAUAGAAUUUGAUGACUUAAUAUUUGCAUGAUCGACAGCAUCAUCCCAGUUGGGAGGGAGCGGAAGCAGAUGACAAGUAAUACUACUACAGUCUUUAUUUUGUUCCCCAAAAGGGAAAAAUAAACAAAGGCAGAAAAUUCAAGCGACUUUAUAAAUACAGUAAGGAAGUCAAUGUCACUGUUAUUAGUUACAAAAGACACCUAUUAUAAUGUCCUUUUUUCUCUUAAAGCAUGAUGUUUUCUAUUUCUUUGGUACUCCCUGAGUUUGGUGUCUUUCUUGAGAAUAAAAAAAAAAACAUUCCACUGCAUAUUCACUGAGAGAAGCUAAAAGGAGAUAUACGACUGGUAAGUUAAGAAUGAAAAGAAAGAAAAAUACUUUCUCAGUUCUCAGGACCCUCCAUACAAGAGGACAAAGGGUGGAAACAGGAUGCAGGAAGUUUGCAACCCAGUGGUCGAGGUUGUGAAGUAGGUUAAUAGAAGGUGACUUCAAAACUUGUCUCUCAGAAUUUUAGAUUCAAUUUUGGAACUGAGAGACCUUGACUACACACAACAUUUUUUCAAAUCUAACAACAGCAAAUCUCACUAUUCACAUAAAAUGAUGUUUUACUUACUUCUAUAUUGCUCCUUUCUCUCUCACAUUCUUCUGUUCCUUAAUCCUAACACAAAGAGCUUUAAAUAGAAACCCCCUAAUAGAUUUGGCUUUGGAACACAUGACAUCUUUUUAGAAGACUUACUCUCCUAGCUACAAUUUUAUUAAAAUCAGUGCAUAAUCCCAGAGGAUUAUGGAAACUGGAAAUAAAGUAAAAGUAAAAAAAAAAAAAAAAAAAAUUGGUAAGAAUGAAACACAGGAGAAGAAAAAAGAUUUGAUGUUUUAAAAAGGCCUUAAGUUAAUGAGUAGGUAAUGUACAGACGGCUUAGAGGUGGACUGAGUACCAUUCUGCUCACAGAGUGCUGCUUUCACUUCCAAAGUGGUGGCACCCAUUCCCAUUCCUAUUCCUACAGGCACUGAGGAGAGUUCCACCUCCUGGUCCACUCUUUUGGUGCCUGACAGAAUAAUACCCUUACCAAAAAGACUGUCAUUGGCCAGGAAUCUCUCCCUGGCACCAUUAUCAUGCUGGCAGCUCUCUACAUAAAGCACAGCAAACUCUGGAGGCAUCUAUAGUAGCAGUACCAUUUAAUUAUACUUUGUAAUGUAAUGUUAUGGAACAUAAUGUUUUAUAAUAUAAUGUUGACUCAUAGGACUUUAAAACCUAUCAGAGUUUUCUAAGCCUGACAGGAAGUACACAUUUAUUUGCAACUUUGGUAUUUGUAUGAUAUUCACCUACUUGUAAGUAACAUGACAAGAAUGAUGUAUCCAGAUGAGUUUGUUGAAUCUCUGGUGGCCACUGGAACACAGCUGGAGCCCCACAUGGAAACUCUGAUCUGCUUCUUGUACAGGGACCCGACGGAAGUAUCUGUAUUUAUAGUCAAGUGGUUUCUAUAAAAGAGAAAGUGUAUGAGCUAUAAUGAAACCUCCCCUCAUUGAUACAUAAUAUGUUCCUAUAGUAUUUAUAUGUAAGAGUGAUACUAAAAGUAACAUAAUAACUGCACAUGGUACAGGGUUCUUGGGUAUCAAAUGAGAAGGUGUAUGAGGCCCUGAAAAAUGUUAAGCACUCUAAAAAUAAGGUUUUUCUCUCCAUCAUCAUCUCAGUUAAUCAACAUAAUAACCCUAAGUGUUAAAUAUGAUUGUACAGCAGCCCCGGUGGCUCAGCAGUUUAGUGCCGCCUUCAGCCCAGGGCCUGAUCCUGGAGACCCAGGAUCAAGUCCCACGUCCGGCUCCCUGCAUGUAGCCUGCUUCUC